CAUUACGUAAACAAUAUUUUGUAAACUUUUGAUAAUAAAAAAAUAAAAAAUCUCGUCUGAUCUUGGAAGCUACGCAGGGUCAGGCCUGGUUAGUAUUUGGAUGGGAGACCGCCUGGGAAUACCAGGUGCUGUAAGCU
rnacentral:rRNA from 1 species